AAACCAAAUGAAAGGGCAAGCAACUCUAUAGCAUAAAGACAGUUUUAAAGCAAGUCAUAUGGUGGGAUUCUUGCCUUACAUUUGACAUGGUGGGAUUAAUUUUGUAUGAAUUCAUUGUCAACAUGAGAAGGUAUAUUCACAUCAGA